rnacentral:rRNA from 1 species
UAACACGUGGAUAACCUUUCCUUGGGACCGGCAUAACCCCGGGAAACCUGGGGAUAUUUCCGGAUAACGCAUAUUUGCUAGGAAUGCUUUAUGCGUCAAAAGGAUUUGUCUGCCCCANGGAUGGUUCUGCGGCUUAUCAGUAGUAGUGGGUGUAAUGUACCUACUAGCCAGCGACGGGUACGGGUUGUGAGAGCAAGAGCCCGGAGAUGGAUUCUGAGACAUGAAUUCCAGGCCCUACGGGGCGCAGCAGGCGCGAAAUUCUUUACAAUGCGGGAAACCGUGAUAAGGGGACACCGAGUGCCAUCAUCAUAUGCUGGCUGUGCGGAUGUGUAAAAUACAUCCGUUAGCAAGGUCCGGGCAAGACCGGUGCCAGGCGCCGCGGUAACACNGGCGGCGCGAGUGGUGAUGGUGAUUAUUGGGUCUGAAGGGUCCGUAGCCGGUUUGGUUAGUCCUCGGGGAAAUCUGAAUAGCUCAACUAUUAGGCUUUACGGGGGAUACUGCCAGACUUGGAACCGGGAGAGGGUAAGAGGUACUACAGGGGUAGGAGUGAAAUCUUGUAAUGGCUGUGGGAGCACCUGUGGCGAAGGCGUCUUACCAGAACGGGUAUCGACGGUGAGGGACGAAAGCUGGGGGCACGAACCGGAUUAGAUUUCGGGCCGGGGUAGUGCCAGCCGUAAACGAUGCUGGCUUGGUGUCAGGCAUGGCGCGACCGUGUCUGGUGCCUGCAGGGAAGGCGUGAAGCGGAGCCACCUGGGAAGUUACGGCCGCAAGGCUAGAAAGUUAAAGGAAAUUGAGCGGGGGGGGACAACAACGGGUGGAGCCUGCGGUUUAAUUGGACUCAACGCCGGACAACUCAACCGAGGGGCGGCAGCAAUAUGUAGGCCUANAGCUGAAGACUUUGCCUGGAUUGCUGAAGAGGAGGUGCAUGGCCGUCGCCAGUUCGUACUGUGAAGCAUCCUGUUAAAGUCAGGCAACGAGCG